rnacentral:rRNA from 1 species
GGGCCCGCACAAGCGGUGGAACAUGUGGUUUAAUUCGACGCAACGCGCAAAACCUUACCUGGAUUUGACAUCCCGGGCUCACCUCAGAGAUGAGGUUUUCUCUUCGGAGACCCGGUGACAGGUGCUGCAUGGCUGUCGUCAGCUCGUGUCGUGAGAUGUUGGGUUAAGUCCCGCAACGAGCGCAACCCUUGUCCCUAGUUGCCAGCAUUGAGUUGGGCACUCUAGGGAGACUGCCGGUGAUAAGCCGGAGGAAGGUGGGGAUGACGUCAAGUCCUCAUGGCCUUUAUGUCCAGGGCUACACACGUGUUACAAUGGGGGUGACAAAGAGUGGCCAAGCUGCGAAGCUGCGC